rnacentral:tRNA from 1 species
CAAAAUGUAGCUUAACCAAUAGCACCUCGCUUACACCAAGAAGAUAUUUGUUUGACCCAAAUCAUUUUGA